rnacentral:rRNA from 1 species
AGCAGCAGCCGCGGUAAUACGUAGGUGGCAAGCGUUGUCCGGAAUUAUUGGGCGUAAAGGGAGCGCAGGCGGACAUAUAAGUCCAUCUUAAAAGUGCGGGGCUCAACCCCGUGAGGGGAUGGAAACUGUAUGCCUUGAGUGCAGGAGAGGAAAGCGGAAUUCCCAGUGUAGCGAUGAAAUGCGUAGAUAUUGGGAGGAACACCAGUGGCGAAGGCGGCUUUCUGGACUGUAACUGACGCUGAGGCUCGAAAGCCAGGGGAGCGAACGGGAUUAGAUACCCCCGUAGUCCCUGUCUCUUAUACA